CAACAAUUUUGUCUCAAUGGCAAAAUCAACUGCCAUAAAUCUUGGAACUAUGUUUUUACUUCUGCAUUUGGCAAUUCUACCGAGCCAAGUCAUGCCUUCUACACAAUCUAUUGGGACUGGGCAAUUUUGCCCAACUGAAUUCAAGAAAGACGGUGGGUGCGGAACAACUGGCGAUCAAGACUGUUUUAAUAUAGGGAAAGAGAUUUUUCCACCGUUCCUUUAUUUGCUUCGAGACUGUCAUUGUGCACCUUAUACGGCUAGCAAAAGCAGUUGUCAUUGCAAAAUAAUUUGUCAACCAACUUAAUUGCCAAAGCAAUGGCAAGAGAAUACUAUUUGAAACUUCAUUCCUUAUAAA